rnacentral:rRNA from 1 species
GACGAACGCUGGCGGCGUGCCUAAUACAUGCAAGUCGAACGCUGAAGAGAGGAGCUUGCUCUUCUUGGAUGAGUUGCGAACGGGUGAGUAACGCGUAGGUAACCUGCCUUGUAGCGGGGGAUAACUAUUGGAAACGAUAGCUAAUACCGCAUAACAAUGGAUGACCCAUGUCAUUUAUUUGAAAGGGGCAAAUGCUCCACUACAAGAUGGACCUGCGUUGUAUUGGCUAGUAGGUGAGGUAACGGCUCACCUAGGCGACGAUACAUAGCCGACCUGAGAGGGUGAUCGGCCACACUGGGACUGAGACACGGCCCAGACUCCUACGGGAGGCAGCAGUAGGGAAUCUUCGGCAAUGGGGGCAACCCUGACCGAGCAACGCCGCGUGAGUGAAGAAGGUUUUCGGAUCGUAAAGCUCUGUUGUAAGUCAAGAACGAGUGUGAGAGUGGAAAGUUCACACUGUGACGGUAGCUUACCAGAAAGAGACGGCUAACUACGUG